CAGUAUUUCAUGAAAGAAACAAAUACAUUGAGUUAGACUGUCAUCUGAUUAGAUAAAAAAAUUCAAAAAGGUGAGUAUAAUGACAAACCAUAUAAGUAGUAAACAACAGUUGGUGAAUAUUUUCAUAAAGACUUUGUCUAGUUGGUUGCUCAAUGAGCAUAUGAUCAAGAGGGGGACAGAGAACAUUUACUCACCAUCUCGAGGGAAGAUGUUUUGGAUCUAGGAGUGCCCAUAUGUCCAAGCCCAUAAUGAGUUAACCUAAAUCCACAACCAGUUUAAAAGGAAAAAACACAUUGUUUUAUU
rnacentral:lncRNA from 1 species